UACGUAGGGUGCAAGCGUGUCCGGAAUUAUUGGGCGUAAAGAGCUCGUAGGCGGUUUGUCGCGUCGGCUGUGAAAGCCCGGAGCUCAACUCCGGGUCUGCAGUCGAUACGGGCAGACUUGAGUGUUGCAGGGGAGACUGGAAUUCCUGGUGUAGCGGUGAAAUGCGCAGAUAUCAGGAGGAACACCGGUGGCGAAGGCGGGUCUCUGGGCAACAACUGACGCUGAGGAGCGAAAGCGUGGGGAGCGAACAGG
rnacentral:rRNA from 1 species